UUUUCUCUGUUUUAAUCUUUGACCAUUUUUAAGAAGGUGUCAUUGUAGUGAUGAGUAAUUAGUUGCUGGUUUCUCUUUGAUAAUAUGUGGAAUGUCUUUUCAGAUGGUGUCUUUUUGUUUUCAUUUUGCUCUGCCUACUUUAAAGAUGGUAUCAAUGCAGACAAUAUAUCAGGAUUUUAUACUUCCAAUUAGUAAAAAGAGAGAUCAGUCACUUUUUUCGUUUUGUUGAGCCAAUUUGGUUAUCAAAUGUUGGAUCCACUGAAGAAGAACGAGUUAAAUGGGUAUCAAAGCGUAUGAUUGAUUCAAAUACGGGUCAGAUGUGGUUGUUUCCAUAUCAUAAGGGGUAAGUUUUUUACUUUUAGUAUUUUGUUAGUGAAUAUAUAUAAUAUUAAUAAUGAAAUGUUUUUGUGUUUCUGUUAGAAAGCAUUGGAUGCUUAUAAUAAUUUAUUUUGAUCACCAAUUGUGCUAUUUCCUGGAUUCUCUUCACAAUUUUCUACCAGAUGAAAUCAAAUCUCUCAUUUCUUGUGUCUUUCAACAUUUGCGCACAAAUAAUGCGAAAACUAAGGAAGUCGCGUGGAGAACUGUUAAGUGUCCUCGUCAACCAUUACAAUGUGGAUUCUAUGUUAUGAGGAUGAUAAAAGACUUCGUGACAAAUGAUUUUUCAAUGCGAUGGCUAACUAGUAACUGUGGCGGGAAGAACUCUUACACAAAUGAUAAGAUCAAUGAAGUGCGUGAAGAAUUGGCACAAUGCGUCAUGGAUUUGAUUAGUACUACAUAUGUCCACUCACUUUUGUUAACUUAGACUUUUAAGGAGAUACACUUACAAUGUUAACUUAGACUUUCUUGAAGAUAUACACACUUUUGUUGUCUAACUAG